GUCUAUGACCAUGCCACCCUGAACAAGCCUGAUCCCGUCUGAUCUCAGAAGCUAAGCAGGGUCGGGCCUGGUUAGUACUUGGUUGGGAGACCACCCAGGAAGACGAGGUGCUGUAGGCG
rnacentral:rRNA from 1 species